rnacentral:rRNA from 1 species
UACAGAGGGUGCGAGCGUUAAUCGGAAUAACUGGGCGUAAAGGGCGAGUAGGCGGAUGGGUAAGUUAGAUGUGAAAGAUACGGGCUCAACCUGUGGAGGUCAUCUAAGACUGCCCAUCUAGAGAGCAGUAGAGGGGAGUGGAAUUUCCGGAGGAGCGGUGAAAUGCGUAGAUCUCGGAAGGAACACCGGUGGCGAAGGCGACUCUCUGGACUGUAACUGACGCUGAGGAGCGAAAGCGUGGGGAGCAAACAGG